AUGACUGAACAAGCUUUCUCUGUGACUGGACCUAGGUUAUCAUUAGUUCAGAGACAUAGUAGAACACAAGGUCUUCUUUACCACAAAAAGAUCCUAUGUUAUAGAUUGAAAAAAGUAAGGAUUUUUCUUCUUAUAGGAACUAAGAUAAGUGUCAGCUCACUACUUGCUUUAUGGUUCUAUCCUUUUCCCUGUUCUGCUUUCAGGUGCUACAGCAUGCUUACUGGGUCUGACUGUUAUAUAUCACAUUUUUACCAGCUGCUAAACAUGCAACUGUGCUGGCUGUUAUUGGGUGACCUCCCUACCUCAAGCUCAUCUCUACACUGAACUGAAAUGUUCCCAUCAUCUCCAAACAGGGCAUUUGCUCUGGCCUCUUGACUAUCUCUGUGGCCUGUUCUUGCAACUAUGCUGGCUGCUGGAGAUGGGCUUUUUCCCUGACUGAACCUGUUGUAGAAGAAAAACUACAACUCAGUAAUGGGAUUUAUUCUCUUUGAGCUCCUGUGAGAAUGCAACUGUGCAAUUCCAUGUGUGGUUUAACUUCUCAGCUAUGCUGUUUGUCAAGCGAAGAGCCGGAUGCCUUUGGGUGAGAUGGUUAACGGAGCAUGGAGAGCUGUGGUGGAUUUUGUCUGAGAGGAGCUGGUGUGAGUGAGAAAAUACCAUCUGGGGGUCUUCAGGGGGGAGAUGAAGAAAACAUACCUGAUCUGAACUGCUGUGUCUGUAGGGUCUAAAGAACAGCACUGAGCUCUGGAGAAAUUCCAGCUGAAGGUGCACCCAUGACUCCAGCCUGAGCAACUUGUGACAGGGUCAGGAGGCAGGUGAGUCCUGCAGAGGCUUUGCUGCCAGGGAGAGCAGCUGUGUGACAGGGCUGCUAGUGCGAGUUCAGCUGGAAAUACACCCCGGGUCAUAAAAUGGCCACUCCUCGCCGGACGGGGCUGCUGCAGUGCUGCGUUACCAAGUUCUAAACACAGCUUUGUUUUUCCGGCUUUGCUCUCAAUCAGUAGUAAUCCUCGGUAACUACUCGUGUCGUCUUCUGUGAUCUAUUACGCGCUCUCCUGCGCCCUGCCGCCGCUCCAUUCCUUGUCGCAGCUCGACCCUCACAAGCGCUCCAGCCCAGCAGCAGACCUACGCCACGCACCCUCCUCACCGCUCUCCCUCCCGGGCCCGGCCGUAGCGCUCGGGGCGGAGCCCGGCUGAGAGGCAGAUUGGGGCGUGCCCCUUUCGGCAGCGCCUCUGCGGCGCGGGCGCUGCCCGGCAGGUGGCGCUGUAGCCGCCUGCGCCGCUCUCGGCUCCUCUCGGAGCUGCGCUGCGAGGAGCCCCCGCGUGUCCG
rnacentral:lncRNA from 1 species